rnacentral:rRNA from 1 species
UUUACCAAAAACAUCACCUCUAGCAUAUCAAGUAUUAGAGGCACUGCCUGCCCAGUGACAUUAGUUCAACGGCCGCGGUAUCCUGACCGUGCAAAGGUAGCAUAAUCACUUGUUCCUUAAAUAGGGACUUGUAUGAAUGGCCACACGAGGGUUUUACUGUCUCUUACUUCCAAUCAGUGAAAUUGACCUUCCCGUGAAGAGGCGGGAAUGCCCUAAUAAGACGAGAAGACCCUAUGGAGCUUCAAUUAAUUAGCCCAACAAGGACAAACUACAACCUACCAGGCACAACUACCCUUACUAUGGGCUAACAAUUUAGGUUGGGGUGACCUCGGAGCACAAAAAAACCUCCGAGUGAUUAAAGCCUAGACCAACAAGUCAAAGCAUUACAUCAUUUAUUGAUCCAAACUAUUUUGAUCAACGGAAUAAGUUACCCUAGGGAUAACAGCGCAAUCCUAUUUAAGAGUCCAUAUCGACAAUAGGGUUUACGACCUCGAUGUUGGAUCAGGACAUCCCAAUGGUGCAGCAGCUAU